GGCUUCUUGGUCCAGGGGUACGAUAAGCGCUUCGGGUUACGUCAGCUUCGGCUGUCCCGUCGUGAACACGACUGUGCUUGACCCGGGUUCGAGUCCCGGAGAAGCCC
rnacentral:tRNA from 1 species